AUGAGGAUGAAGUACCUCUUGCGCGCCAACGGCGCGUGGGCUGCCGUUGAUCGCGAGGACUCCUCCAAGGAGGUCGACGCAGGCAAGGAGGAGAUGGCCAUGAUGAUCAUCUCCCAGUCGAUCGACGACACGACGCUGCUGCGAGUUGCGGAGAAGGAGACCGCCGCCGAUGUGUGGUCGGCGCUUCGCUCCAUGCAUUUUGAUGGCCUCAAGAUGGGCGAUGCGGAGUCCGUGGAUGAUUUCGCGGCGAGGUUCACGACGCUCGUGGGGCGCAUCCGUGAGCUUGGUGAUGCGAUGGAGGAGAAGUACGUCGUGAAGAAGCUGCUCCGAAUCAUCUCCAACAAGUUCAUCCACGUUGCUUCUUCGAUUGCGUUGUUCGGCGACACCAACAAGAUGGCCAUAGAGGAGGCCAUUGGUUCACUCAAGGCACACGAGGAACUCGUCAAGGGGCAGGAGACGAGACGUGAAGAAGAGCAGGGCGAGAGGGCAGGACUUGUCGCGAGGACGGGGUCGUGGCCGUGGCCGUGGACGCGGUGGAGGGCGCCAAGACAAAAUCUUGCAUGUAGUUUAGAUAUUCAGUCGAGGCAUGAAGGAAGAAGCGAGAUGUCAGGCAGCUACGUGAAGUGGCGUGCAAGACAUGAUGCAGUGGUGUCUGUGAGAUGCGGCACGGCCGUGAGAAUCGGCCAGGUUCGUGAUGGGCUGGAGCAUUGGACGGGUCAGUUUGGAGCUGAGAAGAUUUAG
rnacentral:rRNA from 1 species